rnacentral:misc_RNA from 1 species
CGCACAUUGCGCCCCUUGGUAUUCCGAGGGGCAUGCCUGUUCGAGCGUCAUUAUGACCAAUCCCGUAAAGGGGUUUUGGGGCUCGCCAUUUAGGCGUCCCUUAAAUUCAGUAGCGGUGCUAUCGUACUCUAAGCGUAGUAAUUCUUCUCGCUAUAGAGUUACGCUAAGUACUUGUUAAAAACCUUCAUUUUAUUAGGUUGACCUCGGAUCAGGUAGGGAUACCCGCUGAACUUAA